GUCACACUGGUUCUCAUGCGAUCACCGAAAUUAAGCAACGUCCAGUCUGGCCAGUACCUAGAUGGGUGACCGCUUGUGAAUACCAGAUGUUGUAA